rnacentral:rRNA from 1 species
AGAGUUUGAUCAUGGCUCAGAGCGAACGCUGGCGGCGUGCUUAACACAUGCAAGUCGAGUGCGCGCCUGUAGCAAUACAGGUGGCGCACGGCGCACGGGUGCGUAACACGUGGGCAAUCUGCCCUCGGAUGGGGGAUAACUCGCCGAAAGGCGAGCUAAUACCGCAUGACAUUCCUGGGACUCCGGUCCCGGGACUCAAAGGCCGCAAGGCCGUCUGAGGAGGAGCCCGCGCCCGAUUAGCUAGUUGGUGAGGUAACGGCUCACCAAGGCUUUGAUCGGUAGCCGGUCUGAGAGGAUGGCCGGCCACACUGGAACUGAGACACGGUCCAGACUCCUACGGGAGGCAGCAGUGGGGAAUAUUGCGCAAUGGGCGAAAGCCUGACGCAGCGACGCCGCGUGGGGGAUGAAGCUUCUCGGAGUGUAAACCCCUUUCGACCCGGACGAAUGACCCGCAAGGGUUUGACGGUACGGGUAUAAGAAGCCCCGGCUAACUACGUGCCAGCAGCCGCGGUAAUACGUAGGGGGCCAGCGUUGCUCGGAAUUACUGGGCGUAAAGGGUUCGUAGGUGGUGCGGCAAGUUGGAAGUGAAAUCUCUGGGCUUAACUCAGAGGCUGCUUUCAAAACUGCCGUGCUCGAGUGCGGGAGAGGCCAGUGGAAUUGCAGGUGUAGCGGUGAAAUGCGUAGAUAUCUGCAGGAACACCCGUGGCGAAGGCGGCUGGCUGGACCGCAACUGACACUGAGGAACGAAAGCUAGGGGAGCAAACAGGAUUAGAUACCCUAGUAGUCC